rnacentral:lncRNA from 1 species
UGCAUGAGAGACAGUAUGUGCCUGCGGUAUCUUUUGCUUAUGGCAUCUUGUGCUCUUCUCGAUGGUGUUCUGAGGGUUUGAUUAGUUAGCCCUUAUGAGAGACAUCGUGUGCCUACGACAUCUUAUGUUCUUCUCGUCUUCACGUAAGAGGCAGUAUGUGCCUGCGGCAUCUUGUGCCUACGGCAUCUUAUGCUCUUCUCGAUUGCGUUCUGAGGGUCUGGUUAGUUAGUCCUUUGGAGGU